rnacentral:rRNA from 1 species
GUGCCAGCCGCCGCGGUAAUACGUAGGGCCCAAGCGCUAUCCGGAAUCACUGGGCGUAAAGAGUUUGUAGGCGGUAAUUUAAGUGGAGUGCGAAAUCCUGUGGCUCAACCAUAUGGACUGUAUUUCAAACUGGAUUACUUGAGGUAGGCAGAGGUUAGCGGAAUUUGCGGUGUAGGAGUGAAAUCCGUAGAUAUCGCAAGGAACACCAAUGGCGAAGGCAGCUAACUGGGCCUUACCUGACGCUGAGAAACGAAAGCGUGGGGAGCGAACGGGAUUAGAAACCCUCGUAGUCC